GAGUGUGUAGGAGAGGUUUUUCUUAAACAGUGGACACGAGGAAACACUUGAUUAAGUAAAACUUAGAA
rnacentral:sRNA from 10 species